CCUACGGGAGGCAGCAGUGGGGAAUAUUGCACAAUGGGGGAAACCCUGAUGCAGCGACGCAGCGUGAGUGAAGAAGUCAUUCGUUAUGUAAAGCUCUAUCCGCAUGGAAGAAAAUGACGGUACCUGAGUAAGAAUCCCCGGAUCACUACGUUCCAGCAGCCGCGGUACUACGUAGGGUGCCAGCGUUAUCCGGAUUUACGGGGUGUAAAGGGAGCGUAGUCGGCAUGUUAAGUCUUGAGUGAAAGGCGGGGGCUCAACCCUAGGACUGCUCUGGAAACUGGAAGUCUGGAGUGCAGGAGAGGUAGGUGGAAUUCGGAGUGUAGCGGUGAAAUGCGUAGAUAUCACGAGGAACACCAGUGGCGAAGGCGGCUCACUGGACUGUAACUGACGCUGAGGCUCGAAAGCGUGGGGAGCAAACAGGAUUAGAUACCCGAGUAGUC
rnacentral:rRNA from 1 species